UACGGAGGGAGCUAGCGUUAUUCGGAAUUACUGGGCGUAAAGCGCACGUAGGCGGCUUUGUAAGUAAGAGGUGAAAGCCCAGAGCUCAACUCUGGAAUUGCCUUUUAGACUGCAUCGCUUGAAUCAUGGAGAGGUCAGUGGAAUUCCGAGUGUAGAGGUGAAAUUCGUAGAUAUUCGGAAGAAACACCAGUGGCGAAGGCGGCUGACUGGACAUGUAUUGACGCUGAGGUGACGAAAGCGUGGGGAGCAAACAGG
rnacentral:rRNA from 1 species